rnacentral:rRNA from 1 species
UACGGGGGGGGGGCUAGUGUUACUCAUCAUUACUGGGUGUAAAGCGUAUGUAGGCUGUUUAUUAAGUUUAAAUCAUGACAAUCUAAGCAUAACUUAGAAAAUUUUUUUUAUACUGGUAAACUAGAGGUCAAAGGGGGAUAGCUAUAUUUCUGAAGUUUAGGGAUGAAAUCCUUAGAGAUCAGGGGGGAUAACCAGCAAGCGUAAGCGGCUUUCCAUAAUGAUUCUGACGCUGAAGUUCUUAAGCGUGGGUCGCAAACGGG